rnacentral:lncRNA from 1 species
UUAGAUCUACCAUUUGUCUAUCUGUCACCUUCCAUCUUCCUGCCCUAUAAGAAAGUAAAAUUUAGAAAAUCUUCGUCUCUCAAACGGCUCUCUUUCCACGAAAACUACCAUUGAAAACUACACCAAUUAUUUUCAAUGUCUAUUUAUAUUCUUUGUGUGCAUAUGCAUAUAUACCUACACUAGCAGUUGGCUGGCCAAUCGAAUCCUUACCCUCAUCAAGAACUGUUCUCCCCUUUCAUUCCAAAUCAACCAAAAUAGAAACUAUCUAUAACCUAGCUAGUCCAAGGAUCUCAUACAAAGUAGUGCAUAGAAGUGACCAUUUAUUAGCUAGAGAAGUAGUUUCCAUUUUUCAAAUUUCAUCUCAUGGAUUGCAUAGUUUUGCCCGUAGCAAUCUUGACAAGGCGGUGCUCAGGCCAAUUAUUAGGGUAUAGGCCACUCGUGGAGGAUGGUUAUGGCGAUUCAGAUUAUUUGAUAACUGUGGUAGUGGGAAAGGAGAAGAGAAAUUUUUUGGUGGAGCCAUUUGUGUUGGAGAAAGUCCAUUUAGGAAUUUAAUUGAAAUGGUGAGGAAAGAAGAUAAAGGAAGAAUAAAAGAAAUUAGAGCCAAGAAAGUGAUUUAUGUGGAUGUGGAUGCUAUCUUGUUUGAACACAUGUUGUGGUUGAUGCAAAACGAUUGCUCUUCUUUGUUUCAGCUUAAUCUCAAGGAGAUCAUUGACUUCUAUGCCCAAGAUAUAUUGUUAGAGAUAACUGGUUACUAUUAAUCAAUAUGAAGAUAACAAAGAGGUAUUAUGAAUGUUUUUCUGAUUGCUCUUCUUUGUUUCAACUUAAUCUCAAGGAGAUCAUUGACUUCUAUGCCCAAGAUAUAUUGUUAGAGAUAACUGGUUACUAUUAAUCAAUAUGAAGAUAACAAAGAGGUAUUAUGAAUGUUUUUCCUUUUCCUUUUACUUUUUGUGGUAGGAGUUUGAGUCUCCCAAGAGUAAGGUGGGAAGUUCUUGGAGGGAAGGAUGCCGGUGGUCUAUUUGGAAACAGCCUNNNNNNNNNNNNNNNNNNNNNNNNNNNNNNNNNNNNNNNNNNNNNNNNNNNNNNNNNNNNNNNNNNNNNNNNNNNNNNNNNNNNNNNNNNNNNNNNNNNNNNNNNNNNNNNNNNNNNNNNNNNNNNNNNNNNNNNNNNNNNNNNNNNNNNNNNNNNNNNNNNNNNNNNNNNNNNNNNNNNNNNNNNNNNNNNNNNNNNNNNNNNNNNNNNNNNNNNNNNNNNNNNNNNNNNNNNNNNNNNNNNNNNNNNNNNNNNNNNNNNNGGUAGGGAUAAGGUCUGCGUACACACUACCCUCCCCAGACCCUAUUAAGUGGGAUUAUACUGGAUUGUUGUUGUCUUUGUGGUAGGAGUCUUUUGGUCUUAACACGGUUUUACAUUAUCGGUGUAUACGAAAAGAGUCUCAAAGAGAAAGGACAAUAUGAAACCACUGGACAAUUCCAAAAAGAUUAAUGUAUACCAACAUAAUUAAAUUACUAAUGGAGUUUCUACUUCUUCUUCUUGGGUAUGACUUUCUUCGCUUUGGCUGUAUAUAUGUAUUAUACUUGAUGCCUAAAAAGCAGUACUAGUUUAUGUUAAACAAGUGAAUAAACUCUUUCCUGCAAGUAAAUAAAAUUCAGCAACUUGAGAACCUAGCUACUUAGUACCAGACAACAACGAGAACCUAAAUCAGUUGGAUGGGUAAUUCAAUUAUGGAUUUAAAUUGUAUUCACCGACAACGUCAAAGAUACUUAUAUAUAAUAUUUUUAUUUAUUGUGACAAGUCAUUUAUCGUGUAAUGUAGGUUAUCAAUUAUGCAUAUCGCAAAAAAAAUUAUAUUUAAAUGGCCUUUAAAUAAUCUGAUAGUCGAUGUACGUAAAACUCUUUCUACGUUUAUUGGACUAGUGAGGUCUCAUUUUCUUCCGUUCCUAAGAUAAAGGUUGAAAAGGUCAAUGCAAGCUUAUAACUAUUCUAUACUUAGUAUCAAUAUAUUUGACUUCAAAUUCAUUGUUAAAAUAAUACAGAAAACAGUAUACUAAUAGAUUACAAAGAUGCAACCUUCAAAUUUUCAUCAACUAAAUGUAACUAUAAUUAAAGCAUACUUAUCUGAGAGGUUUAUUCUUAUUAUGAGAGGAAAUUUUGUGAUUACUAGCACCCAUGUACUUAGAAAACAGAUUAAUAUUGAACUUGAUAAUAAGAGAAUAAAUAAAACCAUACAAUUUGAAUAACCUUAGCUUUUGAGUUUGAUCACCCCCGAGCCAAGAAAUCUCUCAAUCAAUGAUAGAACACAACAACAAGAUGACAAACAGGGGUGUACACAGGACUUUUGGUGAGCGGUGUUGAAAUUUAAAAUGCUGAACAAAUUACUGCAAUAAAUAUAGGAGAUAAGAAAUUGAGAAGAACAAUACCACCACACUAUCACUUAGAAAUAACAAGUUAUAGAGGAUGAGAACUUUUUCGUAGUUGCGGUUUAAAAUUCGUUUAACUUAUUGUAAAAUAUUUACUUGUGAAAAGUUAAAUAGUAUUCCAUUAUCACUUAUGGUGUCACAGAAGAGGAAACGGCUCUAUUUUUAAACAAAAGAUGUGUAAAAGAAAAAAUGCAAAAGAAACACAUACGAAGUAUUCAAAUCCCAGACCUCGACGGGCAAGUGAGGCGCUUGGCCAUCAGACCGGACACUAUAUUUUGUUCAGCAGUGUCAUGUGAUUUGUAUCUAUACCUUUAUGCCCAAUAUUUAUACAUGUAAUAAUUAAAGUUUUCAGGCGAAGCGGUGUCGAAUAAUACUGCUUUGACUAGGGUGCAUCCACCUCUGAUGAUAAAAACUAGAAAUGAUUAAUAUAUUGCUUUCUUUGUGCAUGUUACAAUGUGUUUUACAAAUGAUCAAACCUCCCUUUAUAUAGUAGGAGAUUCGUGCUAUUGAUACAAUUAUAUAAAAGGUAACCAAUCUCAUGAUUUCUAAGUAAUGGCCUCCCCUUGAUAUAGGCUAAGAAUUCCACCGUGAUCUCCAACAAAUACCAGAUAUUUCGGCCUUUCAUUAUUUGGAUCGAUAAAGUUCCCUCGAUAUUGUUCGGUCUUCAAGUCACGAGCUCAAUGAUUUAACUUCACGCGUUGGUUCGAUAUAACUCGGGCUCGAGCUCUGACCUGCCACGUUUCAGCCUCGGCUGGUCAUACAAUGGACGAACACGGUUUCGAUUGUAUACAAAUAGUCCCUCUUUUUUUAGAGAGAAAAUGACCGGAAACAAUAUGAACUAUCGGACCCCGCUUCGAUAUAUCAUGGCGUAAGCGACAAAGGAUUACUGAAACGUCUCAUCAGUCCAAUCACCAAGGCAUUAAAUGCGUGUCAGUCGUUAGUCGGCCACUAUGGAUUUUGUUUUGAACUGUCAUUAGCAAACUAUAUAUAUCCUAACUUUCAUUUAUUCAAACUUGAUGUUCAAACCUUCUUCUACUCUUGUUCUUCAAAAAUCUCUUCACUCUCAAACUAUUGUGCCCAGAUUUCAAAACCCUUUUACAAACUACUGAGUGUAACUUCUUAAAUUCAUCUUCUUCGUCUCUACUCUAAAAUGGCAAAAACUUAUAAGGCUGUUCUACAAAAGGAGACUACCUCUUUAUCAUGACCUGCCGACGAUGGGACUGCGGCAGAAUCACAACCUAAAGAGUUUGUUCUUGAAUGGUGCUUGACUGGUGCUGAUUUCAAGGUCAAAGAAACUUCCUCGGUAUCAAGUUGAUGCAACCUGUCUCGAGAUAUAUAUCUUUGAUCACGAAUGAUCUCCUCUCCAAAGUUUAAGAGGAAUGAAACAUGAUCGAUAAUCACAUGGUAAUGUGUUUGCCUGAGUAAGCAAUCACUACACACGUGGAGGAUUUUUUAAGUGUUUACACUUACCCCUUCAUGUCAGGUCCCUUAGUUCCGAUCAUUAUCGCCUUCUGCAAAAGGUACAAGGUGACCCUCAAUCAAAUUCACCCGUCGUUUAAAGGAUAGUGAUUCUUCUCCAUUUUUUAUAAACAAAAUCGAGGGGUGUCCCUUCACCCUCGAUCAUCAUAUGUGGCUGUAUAUUCCCCGACUCUAUUGAGGGGGAUUAAUUAAACGUUCUUGCCAAGAUAGUAAGGCCCCAUUCUUGAGUAUAGAUGAGGAUCCAGACCGAGGAUAGAUAGGAUUCAUUCGAGUGAAGACCUUGGACAUGACCCUUGUCGAGGACAUGCCAUUUUCCAAGAAAUAAAACAUGAAGCGUAAGUAUAACUUCACCUUAAAGAUUUUAUUUAUUAUUUCUCGACUUCCCUCCCUUCUUAUCGUAGUUUUUGUGGUGCAACUGCGGCUUGGAUGCCAGAUGCAAUUCCUUGACUUAAAGAGUGGGUCGACGACUUUAUGUCGUAGAGACCAUGUUCCAAGCGCACAUGGAGCGAAUUAUCGAAGUGUUGCUAAGAGGCUCGUCAUCAUGGAAAGUUUUCUUUUUUAUGUAAUAAUGUUUGAUUUUCUCCUUGCAUUGUAAAAUUCUUAUCAGUUCUGUUUCUUUCGUAUGUCUCCCCAAAGAUGUUGCGUAAACCCAAGGGAAGCACCAGAGCUCUACCCUCGGACGCAGUCCACUGGCUAAGGUAUGAGUCAGAAGAAGAAGAUCCAAGCUAGUGGGUGUCUUGAUAUGAUAGGCCUCCGAGCCAGCAGGUGUUGAAACUGAAUUGUCUCAACUUGAGUACGUCGAUGAUAGAACUUUAGCUGAAGCUCUCAAACUAGAAGAGGGUGAGGCCACCCCGCCUCAAGCUAUAGGGGUCGAGAGGGAAACUGGGGCUGAUACUUCUCAAGCAGAGAAAAAUGCCCUAAAAGAUGUGAUUGGGGCGAUUGACCUCACCGGGUCUUCUCUGUUCUGCGAUUCCAUGAUUAACGAGGCUGGUAUGCUAAAAAAAGUCCACACGAGGGGCCUCAGGGGGUGGCAAAUAUUAAUUAUUUCAUUGAAGGUUUAAAAUCUACUGCCUUGCAGACCAAGGAUUCUAAGAAGGGAGACCGUUGACUUGCCUACCUACACCUGCGGGCAUGAAUCGUAGGCCUCAGAAAAAAGGGCAUCAGUACGAAUAACGUGCUAAGUAUGUAUGGCAUGAAAAUCAGUACAUAAAAGACAUAUAUGAAACAUGGAAUAAAAAAAUCCAACUGUAAAUCUGAAUAACUUUUUAAAUUCUAAAACAUUUAUAAUUUCAAGCACGUGCAUAUAAAUGUAAUGUCAUGCGUAGGUAUUGUAAACAUAUGAUUUUUGACCCUCCCAGAUAUUUCACCCAUUUUAGUGUAAAUUAUUUUGUUUAGGCCUAAUAUCGAUAUUUUAAUUAGUUUUGAUCUUUUACUUUAUUUUAUCAAAAAAAUAAAAAUUACACAAAUAUUUCUUUUUUUUAGUUGCUUCUAGUUUAUAUACCUUUCGUAAAACUGAAAAAUAUAAAAAUAGUACCUUAUUUUUAUUUUAAUAUGAUAUCUGAAAAUACCAAAAAAGGUUUGUUUUAACGAUUAUUCUUGUUUUAAGAAUUAUUUUAUUUAAGUAAGAUUAAUUAGUAAAUAAGGUAGUAUUUUAGUCUUGUUCACGGAUAAAGAAUAAAAUUUGGGCUCAACCCAUUUUACGCCUAAUUUUCGGAUCUAGCCCAUCAUUUCCAAACGCAUAAUUCCAAAGCCCAUACCCUCUAACCUAAAAAUAAUGCUUAAGACCAAAAGAUCAGUCGUUUUCCAUGAAAAAAGGAAGCUUGUUUAACCAAUAAAUGGUAUUUCGGUCAAAUCUCUAAUUUAGGAGAACUCGAGUUAGUUAUAAUCAAAAUAAUAUAAGAAAGAAAGUAAUUUGGCUAGCAAUAAAUAAUCAAAAUAGCCUACGAGACAACCAAGGAGAUCCUCGUGGAGAAGGGACCGGGAUUUGAUUACCUUGUGGAUUUCCCUGAAGUUGUUGGUUUCCUUGGUUUCCUUGAAUGUUGUCAUUGUUGUUCGACAUGGUUGAUGCAACAAGGAAAGUUAAGAUAAAAGAGAAUAGAUUAUCAGAUUCUCGGUAACCGAACUAAUUUGUUUAACCAAAAAAUAGAAUUUCGAUCAAUGCUCUAAUUUAGGAGAACUCGUGUCACUGAUAAUCAAAAGAAUAUAAGAAAGAAAAUAAUUUGAAUAGCAAUAAAAUAAUUAGAAAAAAGCAAGUAAACCAAUAUAUUCAGAUAAUAUUUUUUCGUAUCCCCACAAUUGAUCAACUAUCUCCCUUUUAUAACUAUUUGAGAGAUAUGCAUUUUGGUUUUGCCAUAAUAAGGCUAUGAUGGAUAAUUAAAGACAUUAAAUACUACGUUACACAAUCAUUAUAUUUAAUACAAAUAUUCGAACAUUUUUAGUGUUUAAUGCCCAUUAGAUACUGUAUAUGUACUCUCAUAUAUUGUCGGAUUUAUUUUUCUUGGUUGUUGGACCUAAACGAUUUAAGUAGGUACGGGUGCUGAGUCCUGAUUAACCGCUCAUGUCUUUUCCUUUGCCUCUGCUCGUAUCUCUGGCUACUCGUGCCUUUUCACCAGCUGUAACUCUUUGACUAGCCUACGUGUAAACUCAAUUUUUACUAAUACAAAUGCCGCCCCCCCCCCCCCCCCAAUUUCCAUUUAUUCAUCAAUAGAAUAUUAAUUUUGUCACCAUUAAUGCUAUGACGAAAUUGACGUUUCAAUUGUCAUCUCAUUUAAUGCUCUUCACACAUGUCGCCUUUUCAUUUUCUCUGCAAUUUUGCAAUCCUUUUUAAGAAUUUUUCAUGGCUCCAUCAUUCACGAAGUGUCAGCUAUCAUUAUUAUGGUACUUCCACAAUUACACUUUUUCCUUUGGCGGUCGCUUAUUAGUAUAAAUAUAACAUCUUUCUUUGUCUUUACCUCAUUAAGUCUAUUGAAUACUUAAUUUCUUAAAUCCUUUUUUGCUUUUUCAUUGUUUUAUCCUUCUUUAUCAUGUCUUCAUCAAACUCUAACCCUAGAAGGUUCCCAUAGUUCUCACCUUCCGUAACGCCCCGAGUAGGAGCAGAAGAGGAGGUAGACUUUGUAAUUUAGGAUCUGCACGUGGUUCUUCUAUUCCCUCUCCUAGAUUUGGCCCUUCUAUUAGAACUAGAGGUUUGCUUUCACAAAGAUCUUCUUCUAGAGGUAAAGAACCUUUUGAACCUCUUCGUGAACCUACAGUAGAGGAGAUAGUUCCUAUGGAACAAUCUUUUUAUCAUGACACAAAAUCUCUUAGGAAUCAAGUUUUUGCUUUAGAUCAUGCUGAUAUCCACCCCACUCAAAUUACAGAAGGUUUGAUUUCUGUAGUUCGUAGGGCUGUCAUUGGAGUAAUGAUUUUCCUAUCAUUAUCCCUAAUCCAAAUCAAAGAAUCACUUCUUACAUGACCGGGUUGUCUUUUGUCUAUGCAGACCCUUGCACCUUAGGGUUUAAACCAGCUAUUGAUCCAGUCAUUCUUGAAUUUUGUCGUUUAUGUUUGCUUGGGUCAAAUUGGCUCAAUCAUAUGGAGGGCUGUUGCCUGUUAUAGGCAAUUGACCAACACAUCCAAUUUUCCUUUUAUUUUCCCAUAUUUGAUUCACCUUUACUCCCGUAGACUCUUUUGCAAUGGUGUUUUUACACUAGUAGCUAGGAGCAAGAGAGUUUUGGUAAGCCCUGAAGAUGACAAAGACCGUCGCUCAUACGCCAGGUUUGUUACUGCCCCCACAAUAUGUUUAGUGGGUAAUGAGAAUAUUCCCUUCCCUGAGAAGUGAAACAUUGCACGUAAGUCCUCUAUUUUUCUCGUAUCAUUUUCUUCAGAUUUGCCAAGUUUUCUAACUUUGCCUUUCAUUUUUAGCAACCAUAAGAGUUGUGGAAGAUGUUCCCAAUUUUUGUGAUUAGGUAGACAAGUUACUGAAGAUUGUACCGAUGGAUGGUAGGUAUUGGAAGACCCUUUCUAACCGACUUGGUUGAAAAGUAAAAGCUCAUGGUAAGAAAUUUUUAUUUUAUUUCAUAGUUUUUUUUACUACACUGAUUUCAAUCCUUCUUUUUAUCAGAAUUUUCUAUUUGAGGAGUUACUACCGAGGCAGUCACAGCUUCUCGUAUUUCUUUUGAAAGGGCUCAAGAAAUAAUCUUGAGUUCUUUAGUAAAAAGAAAAGUCGUUGAGGAUCAAGACUCUGAAGGAGAGGAAAAUCGGGGAUCUUUGGUGACAAGGCAAUGAGCUCGAAGACGCAUCAUUUUUGAUGAUGAAGCAGAGGCAUCCCCUCAUCAUUUUUUUCCUCUUACUGAGUCUAUUGAGAGACUGGUAGUGAUUCUCGAUGAUGACAUUCCUCCCCCGACUGCUCACGACUCUGUUGAACAUCUCUUUAUUAGAGAUUUCAGUAGUGAAAGCUAAGGCCUUAUAUUAGAUGAAGCACCCUUGUUUUUUUUUCCGACACCCAUGUCUGUAACUCCUUUUUUUUUCCAGUCUCAGUUGUUUCUGUUCCUCCCCAGACUAGUUUUACCACUUCUUUUGUCCCUCCUUCGACGAUUCCUCCUACAAUCAUUCACCAUGUUGAAGUUGUCUCCUCAAGUAGUGCUUCUAUGAGGCGGGUAGUCAUUGAAGUCCCUGCUGAGAGCAAUCUCUUAAGGAAAUCAGGUAAAGCGGAUAUAUGGCUAGAACCUUCUAUUGGCCUAAUUGAAAAAGCUAAGCUAGAGAGCCAUAGUUCCUUGACUCUGAUGUGCAUGCUUCCUUCAAGUUAAUCUCCCUUUUCUUUUCAAAUUUCUAUUUUGUCAUUAUUCUAACUUUAGGAUUCUAAUUUCCUUUUCUUUUCUGUAUUCCUUUUUAUAGACCAAUCUCAUCGGUACGGAGUUGAUAAGGAGGAUUACUCUCUCAGAGCAAUUAGUUCGUGGUUCUUAUUUAGAGGCAUGCAAUUGAAGGGAACAGUUUGAAAGAUUACAAAUUGACGUGGAAUAUUUAAAAGAGAGUAAGAGUACCUUUGAGCAGAAAGUACGGGUUUUGACUUCGGAGCUGGCCGGUGAAAAGGCUUCCUUAAUCCAAGCAGAUAAAGAAAAACUUGCCUUGAAAACUCCUUCUUAGAAUAGCUAUCCAAGGCUAAUGAGGAAAUUAGAGAGCUGAAGGCUCUCUUAAGUGAAAAAGAAGCUUACGCUGGGGAGCUCAUGCAGAAUUUGACUCAAGCACAAGAUACUUUCGAGUUUCUUCUGAUAAGAUGUGUGCCUUAGAAAGCUCCCAUGUCUCUCUUCAAACUUCGUACACAUCUACCUUGUCAAAAAAUAGGCGUUUUUGAUUUUAUUCUGUAAUACCCUAAUUGAAGCUAGUCAGGAGAACUUUAACUUAGAAUCUAAGUUAGCUAAUAUUAACGACACUAUUGAUAAAACUCAACAACCCCAAGAGUUUCCUUCUCUUGUGGUCGAAGCUUCCAUGAAUGUUGAAAUUGAUACGGGUAUCCCAACCUCUUCAAGCCCAGUCGAGCCUGUUGCCGUAAGCUGAGUUGAGCUUGUUUCCAUAAGUCAAGUUGAGCCCGCAGGUGUCGAUGCACCUGCUCCAGCGCCUCCAACUUCUUAGUGAUAAGUUUUUAGCUAUGUCGAAUGUCAUUAGGUUGUUUUUGUUUUUUUUUUGGAAAAUGGUAAUCAAACCCUUGGCUUUAUUUGAGGGUUCGUUUUGGGAACUCAUGUCCCCAGACCUUUUCAUGGGGAAAUUUGUAUGAACAAUUCAUAGUUUUACGACUAAGUUCAUUUUUUGUCUUUUGUUCUUUAUUUUAAGAAAUUUCGUUGUUGAACUUCCAUUUUAUUUAUUCUAUCCUUUAUUUCUAAGGACUUAAAGAAUAAUUUGGAUUUUUUGAUUCUUAUAGAAAAAUUCUUCUAUUCACCUCAUGAAUUUUCAAAUUAAUCAUGAAUUUGAUAAAAGAUGGCUUUUUUAUAUUAGACACUUAAUGAAAAAGACAUUUCAACUUUAUAAUGGUGUUUACAUAUGAUGAAAGAAAUAGGAAUACACAUGUUUCAUUGAAUUAACUUUGACAAGUUUUCUUUUGAACUUUGUCUAGUUUUAGAUAACACUUUACAUGUAUUUGAAUUACAUCUAUGACAUUCUCGUAACUAUUUUUCUUGUAACAGAUUUUAAUUUUUUUUAAAUAAACAUGAGGUUUAUAUUUAGAACACGUUUCAGUACAUUCCCUUCACUUUAACUAUGAUAAGGUUUUCCUUUAGCCUUAGUUCAUGACUUUGCUCUAUACUUGACUCAUUCGAUGAGUGGAUGUUUUAGGCUUUAUCUUUGAUUAUUUUCCAAUAUUCUUUCCCUUCUUUAUAUACUUUCACAUGCACAUUAUAAGUCCCGCAAGUGUUUGAGCGUUGAAGUCUGAAGCCUCGAACACUUGAUUGUUCUUCUCAUUUGGUCCUUUUCCUGAAAAGGAAAAACAUACGGUACUCGGAGGUGCGAUUAUAGAUGCAUACUGCUUAACCCAUUUGAAUUUCUAUCAGAAAGAUUGUAAACCUAGGCCAUGAUGUUUAAUUCAUUCUAUAUGCUUUGCAGGUUGUGACUCAUCAUUCAGUACGGUUAGCUUUUUGCCUAGAAUCUAAAAUCGUUAGUAAAAUUUUAACAACUCAAUAAUCAAAUUAAAAAAUAUGAGUACCUGACCGUGGGUAUUCCUUAGAAAUAGUAUUGGUUCAGAUGAACAAUAUUCCAAUGUGAAAAUAGUAUCUUGCCAUCCAUUAUUUCAAGCUCUUAUGCUUAUUUUCCUGCAAUAUCAUGAAUUCUGUAGGGUGCUUCCCAUGUUGGACUUAAUUUCCGUGUGUUAGCUGCUUUUAUAGAUUGAAAACCUUUUUGAGCAUGAAGUCCCCAAUUUUGAAGGACCUGAGGCGUGCUCUUUGGUUAUAGUAUCGUUCUAUGACCUGCUUCUGAGCUGCCAUUCUUAUUAGUGCAGCUUCUCUUCUUUCUUCAAGUAAAUCAAGAUUUACCCACAUUUCUUCAUCAUUAGACUCUUUUGACGCAUAUGUGAAUCUUGUACUACGCUCUCCUAUCUCACUGGAAUCAAAGCUUCAACUCCAUAAACCAAUGAAAAUGGUGUAUCUCCUGUACUUAUUUUUGUUGUUGUGCGAUAUGCCCAUAAACACCAGGUAACACUUCUACCCAA